rnacentral:rRNA from 1 species
UACGAAGGGGGCUAGCGUUGCUCGGAAUUACUGGGCGUAAAGCGCACGUAGGCGGAUUGUUAAGUCGGGGGUGAAAUCCUGGAGCUCAACUCCAGAACUGCCUUCGAUACUGGCGAUCUAGAGUCCGGGAGAGGUGAGUGGAAUUCCUAGUGUAGAGGUGAAAUUCGUAGAUAUUAGGAAGAACACCAGUGGCGAAGGCGGCUCACUGGCCCGGUACUGACGCUGAGGCACGAAAGCGUGGGGAGCAAACAGG